UUCCGGGUCGGAGGUCGUCUGGUCCGACAGGGCGACUGCCUGUGUGCUGCUCUGGCCCCCCCGUAUGCGCUGCUGCGUUUGUUGGCUGUGGUAAACGCUGGUGGCUGCAUGGAGCCCUCUCUCCCCCUCCCUCCUCUCGUGUGAGUGUGUGUGUGCCCGCGCUGCUGAAAAGGUAUGUUAUGUGUAUUGUAGCACGCACCGCAUCAUGUUCAGUGUAUUUAGCCAUGCUAAUAGCAUUUUUCUUGGUUAGGUGCUAACUGUAGCCAGCUUAUCGGGCCGCUGCUGCUUUGUCGCCGCUGCUGCUUUGUCUCCUGUUUUGUCUCCUGCUUGCCUCCAUCACGUCUGCCGUUUGUCUCUGCUGCUACUUGUCCUCACGGCACGGUGGCACGCUGCGGUACUGUAAGCCGCUGCGCAGCUCUGCUUCCGCCGUAGGCACUGGUGCUCUGUUUCACGUCCGGAGCAGGACGGUUGCUCGUCUGCCCGUUGCGGGCCGAGACAUUAUUUUUAACUGGGGUUUGGUCCCCCGUAUUUUGAGUGAAUGAGUGUGGGUUAUAUUCUAUUAGCUUGUUUAUUUUUAUAUUGUUUGGGUUGAACCUGAUUUUGUUUGUUUGUAUAAUUUAUUUGUUAAUUAGGUUAAUUUGAGAGAUUUUGUAUAUGUAAUUGGAUAAUUGUUUGGGGUUUGUUUUCUUUAUUUAGCAUUAAUUUCUUUUGCUUUGUCUAUAUUUGAGUAUUUCAAUUGGGCAGUUAUUAGUUGUUAUAUUGUUAAGUUUAAACUUGUGAUCUGCCCAUUAAUUACAAUUUGUUAAAUUUUGAUUUACUGAUUUUGUUUGUUUCAUUGCAACCCCACUAAUUUUAUCAUUCCCCUUUUCAGUUGCUGGAGGCCGGUGGUGGUGGCGCUGGUGUUUGGUGGUGGUAUCCAUCCUUCCGUCUUGUCCGCUGUGUUCCUGGGAGUGGGUUGCUUCACUGAGUGUGUCUGCCACGUGUGCCUGGUGAUUUAAGUUGGUUUCUCUUUUUUUUGGUGGAUCCUUCCCCUUCACUAGUCCUUGUCCACUCACUAGGCCUCAGCCCUGAUUAGGUUCUUUCCC